rnacentral:rRNA from 1 species
UACAGGGGGUGCAAGCGUUGCUCGGAAUUAUUGGGCGUAAAGCGCGCGUAGGCGGCUACUUAAGUCGGAUGUGAAAGCCCUUGGCUCAACUGAGGAAGUGCACCCGAAACUGAGUGGCUAGAGUACGAAAGAGGGUCGCGGAAUUCCCGGUGUAGAGGUGAAAUUCGUAGAUAUCGGGAGGAACACCGGUGGCGAAGGCGGCGACCUGGGUCGAUACUGACGCUGAUGCGCGAAAGCGUGGGGAGCAAACAGG